rnacentral:rRNA from 1 species
GCGGUGUUUAACUGGCGUGUCCGCGGGACGUCCUGCCGKUGUUUUUUGYYGCCCGCAAGGGCGGCGGCCCAACUCAAUCCCACCGCGGUGCUCUUCACUGAGUGUCGAGGUGGGCCGGCACGUUUACUUUGAACAAAUUAGAGUGCUUAAAGCAGGCUAAAACUUCGCCUGAAUACCGUGUGCAUGGAAUAAUGGAAUAGGACCUCGGUUCUAUUUUGUUGGUUUUCGGAACCCCGAGGUAAUGAUUAAUAGGAACGGAUGGGGGCAUUCGUAUUGCGACGUUAGAGGUGAAAUUCUUGGAUCGUCGCAAGACGAACAGAAGCGAAAGCAUUUGCCAAAAACGUUUUCAUUGAUCAAGAACGAAAGUUAGAGGUUCGAAGGCGAUCAGAUACCGCCCUAGUUCUAACCAUAAACGAUGCCAGCUAGCGAUCCGCCGACGUUCCUUCGAUGACUCGGCGGGCAGCUUCCGGGAAACCAAAGCUUUUGGGUUCCGGGGGAAGUAUGGUUGCAAAGCUGAAACUUAAAGGAAUUGACGGAAGGGCACCACCAGGAGUGGAGCCUGCGGCUUAAUUUGACUCAACACGGGAAACCUCACCAGGCCCGGACACCGGAAGGAUUGACAGAUUGAGAGCUCUUUCUUGAUUCGGUGGGUGGUGGUGCAU